UGGCGAACGGGUGAGUAACACGUGGGUAACCUGCCCAUCAGAAGGGGAUAACACUUGGAAACAGGUGCUAAUACCGUAUAACACUAUUUUCCGCAUGGAAGAAAGUUGAAAGGCGCUUUUGCGUCACUGAUGGAUGGACCCGCGGUGCAUUAGCUAGUUGGUGAGGUAACGGCUCACCAAGGCAACGAUGCAUAGCCGACCUGAGAGGGUGAUCGGCCACACUGGGACUGAGACACGGCCCAGACUCCUACGGGAGGCAGCAGUAGGGAAUCUUCGGCAAUGGACGAAAGUCUGACCGAGCAAACGCCGCGUGAGUGAAGAAAGGUUUUUCGGAUCGUAAAAACUCUG
rnacentral:rRNA from 1 species